rnacentral:rRNA from 1 species
CUGACACAAUGUUAGGCCAGUGAA